AUCCUCUGGUAAUGGGCAAAGAGACACCUUGUUGGUGGUGGUGUUCUUAUAUCAGUCAGGGGCAGAGCAGAUGGCAGUCAUUUCUUCAUCCAGGCUUGAUGCCUGGCUUGAUGGCCAAAGCUCAUACCCGGGGCUCAUAA